UUGAAAAAAUAAAAAAAACUCUUUCUUUCCCCAAAGUUCCAGCCAGAUUUCUGACCUUACUACAUCAAGUCAAAUGUCCCAUAGCUGCAUAAAGUACUCUAGCAGAUUUAGGAUUGGAAUACAGAAGUUGUGCUGUCACACUGGGGCUGACGGGAGGAAAUACGAGCCCGAGAAAGUUCAGCUGAAGCAACUGAAGCAGUCCUGCCCUGCCGUGCAGUAAUAAGGAGAAAACAAAUACAAUAAAGCAAAGGAACUAGAGCGAUGUGCAGAGAAACAUCACAUCUUCCAAGGAAUGGCUUCCAUGACAGAAGGGCUGAACCAUAGGUUUAGAAGAGUAAAGAUAUUUCCCAAUGUUGUGGCCUCCAAAAAUACCCUGCCAAAGGAAACUGACAAAUGAAACCCAAAUAAAAAGAGUUAGAAAACAGAGGUCAAAAUGGCCUGCAGAAUCGAACCAGCAACCACCACGUGAACAUCCAGCAAAGCAAUGCUUUGCCGAGCGCCCAGCGCCGUUGGGACUGCGCAUCCCUGCCGGAAUCGCGUUCUGUGAGCCUCCUCAGGGCGAGACUGUUGAGAAAUGAGUGAUUACGGUCUGUACCAGAUGAAAGCUUCAGAGAGUUAGAACUUUGAGUUCGGAACCGCAGAAUUAGAAGUUCUGAAAUUUGAAGGAAAUAUUUACAAAUAAAAGGAAAUCUUUUUGUGGUGGCAUAUGUGGAAAAUAAAUGGAAUUAAGAAAUACUUAAAAACAGAUAGAAUUUCCAUCUUGAGUCACUAAGGAGAGUUGGAGAGGGCCUCGUUAGAGCUCUAAACUGAUGGCUCUGCUCAAAUCACGCAUCAGUGCCACUUUUGGCACAAGGAGAUGGAAGGUGAGCUGCUCCUACCCAAGGAGACAGUUUAUAGAACCUUUGUUACGCUGGGAAAGCACAUCGGAGGACAUCAUCUGGUGCCUUCGUUUUACAGAGGGGAAACAGCAGAGAGGGCAGUGUAGCCCAAGGGUAUGAGCUCAGAUUUGGUGACAGACUGGAUAGAAAUGCGGCUUCUCCACCUCAGGUCUGAAGUUCGAUCUACCGGAGCAUUUGGCCAAUCAGGGACACAAAGCGGGACAGCGCCCUGUUCAAGCCCAGUCGCCUCCUCACAGAGUCUCUGGGGUUAGACAGAGCUACAUGCUGCUACAGCGGGUGCUGUGGGCUAGGUCUUGCUGACCUGAUCCUCCUUUGGGGCUCUGUUUCCAACCGAUGGGCAGGCAAAGCAGCCCACUGUCCUGUGAUGUAGGAUAGUCACCUUUGGGCUCAAAACAUUGAGCAAAAGCUGUGGGAGAAGUUCCCGAAUCCCUCCACUUCCCAGAGUAGUGGAAACAGAGCACAGAUCCCGAUGCCCCCGCAGACCCAGGGGCUCUCUGUGCAUCUGCUGGAAGAGAUGGGCAGAGGAGACAGCUGCGGAACGCAGUCUUUGGGUCCAAACAGCUCUGCGGAGUUCAUCCCACAGACAAGACCAUCUUGCCUAUCAGGAUGGCAAAGGCAAACAGUUUAAUCAAUUGAACAUUUCCCUAUAAAGCUAGAUUGUAACUGCAUACAGCAGAAGUGAUGCUUUUCUCCACCGGUAACCUGCACAGGCUUCUACUGUCCUCCGCUCUUGUUGCUGCUGGUGUUUUGUGAUGCAUAUUUUCUUUCAAAUUAGAAAAAAAAAUUCACAUUUAAGGAAGGAAGAGGUCUUGAAUCCAUCCUGGCUGACAUCAUCUCCUUUCCAUUGUACUCCCUGCUAGAUUUAGUGUAGGAGCAUAUCAAAUACAUACAUAUUAGCCCAAAUUCCCAGUGGCUAAGUAUUAGGUCAACAUUUUUCUCAAAGGUUGCUGCUAAAUAUCAUCACAAGGCAAACUUCCUGGAAAAAUGUAACUGCAAUUGCAUUUUUAUAAAACAAAUUGGUAAUCAAGUUUUAAAAGCUCGACAUCGUAGGAAUGAUUACUCAGGCUAUUGCCCAUCCAUAUCCCUCUUUCUCAAGAGUUUGAAGACUCAUUGUCUUCUUUAUAGCGGGAUAAGCUUUCUCAGUCUUUCCCACUUUGCGACCUUUGCUCUUCCAGUACUCACGAUACGUAAGGGAAGUCCUAAUUCCAAGCGACAUCUGUCGUUCAGAAUGAAUGGCCGCUGCCGGGACGCCCUUGCCCUCUUCCUGUGCCUGCGUAGCUUUCACGGUGUGGAGAGGACGCAGUGACCGGGCCGGAUAGCAAGUUGUGGCUGACACCAAAGUUGAAGUCAAAUCUCACUACGUCACUAAUUCAGAGUUUGGUAGAACAUUUCAAUAAGCAAACUAUAUUUUUAAAAAAUGUUUUUUGAAUUCUCUUUUGGUCCAUUUUUGGAGAAAUAACUAGACAUUUUACAUUGAAAUCAAUGAAUUCCUCUAAGAGCCACAAGAUGGUGCUAUGAAGUGGCAUUUAGAGAAGAUUAAAAAACCAUUUGGCUUCUAGAAGCCAAUUUUAGGCAGGUCAAUCCCACCGACAUCACUUAACAUUAGCUACAGAAGAGCACUGUCUUUACCCGGCUUCAGUGAACCAGAUUUGUUGGUAUAAGGACAACUUUACUCCUGCUGCUGCUUUUAAACACUCUAUUCUAGAAAUUAUACUUGUUAUCUUUGGUUUUGACCUCAGGUUUUAAGACUACUUUAAGAGAAAACUAAGAAUGAAUUUGGACUUCAGCAAAGUUAAGUCAGGAAAAAGUACUGGACUGAACAGAGCCCAAAUUUCUAACUCCUGCUCUCCUCCCCUGUCUUUCCUGGGGCUCUCGGCAAGGACCUUGUCAGCCUUCGGUGUGUGGUGAGGCCCCGAAUCAGUUCUGCUUGGCGUAGUCGGGUGGCGGUGAGGACACUGCUGCGUCUUGGUGAGGUCGGCUGCUCCCGUCCUACCUGCAGAGGACAGAAAUGCCAAGGCGGAGAAACCCGACCCUCCAUUCGUUCCCUCGUUGGUUGGUUGGUUCAUUCACCGAUCCACACGUUCCUUCAUUCAUACUUGUAGUUCUCCAUCUGUUAGUGCAUUUGUUCAUUUGUCCAACACCUUUUCACAAAGUGUUGACCACGAUUCAAGAUCAGACCAAGCUCUAGAGAUAAAAAGAAAAGAAUGACCUCAUUCCUAUUCAGUCUAACAGAGGAGAGAGAUGCUUAUGAAAUAAGGUAACGAUAAUAUACGACACCAGCGUUUUGCUCCCAAGUGUGAGACAUUCUGGGAACAAGGACGUUUAAUGAUGAAUCCUGGGUGGGAUGACAGGACUCAGGCAGGCUGCUGACUGUGGAGGGUGAGGGAAGCAGCAGAUGACGCUGGACACAGCACACAGCGGAGCCCAUGUCUAGGAUGUGCUUGUUAUGUGUCACACAGGCCGGGCAGCGAGAAUGCGAGGAGGGCUGCGGAGGGAACAGAGAGCGUGCGAAGGAGCGGGCCAGUCGGAAGGCCGGAAAUGGAAGCACGGAAAGGCACGGGGGCGCGUGGCAGUCGCUCCCUCUCUGUAGUCUGGGUGUCACGGCCUUGGGGUUGGUUGGAUGAGAUCCAGGAGUGAAAUCUUCGAUGGGUUCUUUCAGAGCUGAACUCCAUUUUCCUCCAUGUGAACUACCAAGCCUGCCCAACGAUUCACACAGUAACAUGACCGACUGUCCGUGCUGCACCGCCAGGCCCCUGGAGCUGCGAGUCCCCAGGACUAGGGCACGGUUCUUGGGGUUCCCAGGGCACCUCAGGGCCGAGAUGGCCUGGAAGGAGCCUAGGGGCCGAGUGCUGGUGUACAGUACUCUCCAGAGCUCUGUUGGCUCCUGCUCUUUCAGGGUGAGACUGCUCUGGGCGGAGGGCUGAGGGAUGGCAGGGUCUCCGCCCCUUCUGCCAGGAGGGCCGAGGAGUUUUGCUGUCACAGUUCCUGAGCCCAGACCUCUAGCUAAGACAGCUGAAGAAUGACUCAGAGGCCAUGGCAGGAUGGAGUAGACAUUCAAAACCCAGAACCAAGAUGAGCACUCACGAACUUACCCUUGCAGUCCUUUGCAAGAAAUAGACAUUUUCUGUUUACACGGGACAAAAAGGUACCUUUUAUGUGACUGUGUUUUUUUUCCUCAUUGAGUUUAUUGGUACAUUCCAGGCCUACAGUACA